rnacentral:rRNA from 1 species
AAUCAACGCUGGCGGCGUGCCUAACACAUGCAAGUCGCGCGCGAAAGGGGGGGCAACCCCCGAGUAAAGCGGCGAACGGGUGAGUAACACGUGGGUAAUCUACCUUCGAGUGGGGAACAACAUCGGGAAACUGGUGCUAAUUCCGCAUGACAUCGUCGGGGCUUCGGUUCCGACGCUCAAAGCUGGGGAUCGUAAGACCUAGCGCUUGAAGAUGAGCCCGCGUCCGAUUAGCUAGUUGGCGGGGUAAUAGCCCACCAAGGCUCCGAUCGGUAGCCGGCCUGAGAGGGCGGACGGCCACACUGGAACUGAGACACGGUCCAGACUCCUACGGGAGGCAGCAGUGGGGAAUUUUUCGUC